rfam:Botryotinia fuckeliana T4 unplaced genomic scaffold BcT4_SuperSuperContig_H3_V3__V4, whole genome shotgun sequence.
UCCCUCGUGGCGCAAUUGGCUAGCGCGUUCGACUGUUAAGUGAAGCAAUUCAUUCAUACAGAUAAAUCGAGAGGUUCGUGGUUCGACCCCACGCGAGGGAG